rnacentral:lncRNA from 7 species
AGCAUCACAGAGCAGAGUCAGACCAGACUCCUAGAAUAUCCUGAGUUGGAAAGGACCCGUAAGGAUGACAGAAACCAAAUGAAACAAGUCUACAUAUUCAUUAAUCCUACUUACAAUCACAAGCAUAUGCACAAGGAUUUUGCUGAGGAUGUGUUAAGUUGUGCUGGCGCACUCUCAUGCAGCGUUGUUGCAGUCAGUGGCACUGCUGCUCACCUCCCAGGAAGAAUACAAUAGUCCAAACUCUCAUGUGACCUGCAUCACUACGCCAAAUACUUCAAAAUGCUACAAAUAUCUAACAGUGGGAACGCAUUUCCAUCUCUUCUCACAGCAAAAGUUAAUGCACCUCCAGAUACAUCAAUCGCAUCAGCAGCCCAAUCUGACGAAGCACACUGCAAUGGCUGUCACCACUGUCACCCCUCCUCCUCUGCACAGAGUGGUGCAGCUGCUGAGCCCAACCCAGCCCAGGCCCUGCAGCAGCCCGGCUCUGUGGGACACAGCUGCCAUGGAGAUGUGGAGCCACCGCAGUGAGAACGUCACCACUAAGUGCAAGCAGUCAAUUCAACUACAGCAAGAGAGCUGGCACUGCCUAAGAUAACUACCUGUGUGUUUUGCACCAAAUUUUUGAGGUUACUUCACCUCCUCUUAUUGAAGAUCUGGUAAUUUCUAAAGUUUUGAAGGCAAGGCUGCAUUACCAAACAGUGAGUGUCAACAGGAACCAUCCCUUCAAGUCUUAUUUAUGAAAGUGUAGAAAGAGUACAAAGAAAGAAGUCAUGCUCUUUGCAAAUCAUAAAAAAAAAGGCCACAAAAGAUUUCUGUAUUCAACCUGAGGUUGCAACAACACCAAACAAAUUAUAUAUACUUUAUCAUAUAGCAGCUGUAAAGGCUUUAAACGUGAUCCAUGUCCAUAUGAACAUCAAGUCUUAAUAAUGCCCAUCAUAUGGCGGCUAAAAAGGGUGCACCGAAUCACUGCAAAAGAGCGGUGCAUACAGUGGUAAGCUGAGCACAAUGAGACCCAUCAGCUUCCUAGUCACGGUAAUCUUACAGCACGGAUGGAAAAGGUCAGCAUAGAUGGAUCAAACUAGAAUGAUUUGUAUAAUAAUACUCAGUUCUUACGUCACGUUUCUCAGCAGUACAAAGCACAAAAGAAGUCGAUGCCGUUAUUCCCAUUUUACCUAUGGAAAACUGAGCACAUGGGAAAGAAACUGAGUUAAAACUCCCAUAGAGAGGCUUGAAAUACAGAAUAUUUAACAGACCACAGACAGCAUGCUUGCCACUGAAGCAAAUUCAAGAUAAAAACGUGUCAGUGGACACACGCCUGAUUCCCUCAGAACACGAGCACUGUGCUUCUACCAUUGCUUUUCCAUCACUCAGUCACCACUAGUGCUGUUUAUGCUGGAGAAAAAAAUAGUGUUGCUAUUCUUUCAUAUUUAUAAAAACAUGAAUACAUAACUAUUAUGCUUCCUGGCCUGUGUAAAAUGUUGUUACACACACACAAAUGAAAUUCAGGUGGGUUCAGGCAGUUACAGAACAGCGUUAUCCGUGCACAUGUACACACGUGCUUACAUCACACACUAAUGAAUCGGCCCACACGGCUGUUACAUUUUCACACUGCAUUCUAAAUAGCACAGCCUGACAGAAACAACAUCCAAUCCUGUACAAACAUGGAGCUGAAGAGGUUUCAGCAAAUUUCCAGUUUAAGUAAAUCUGUUAGCUUAUUUGCACAGACCAUCAGAAAUGAUGUCAAUCUUACAAUCUGUAGAAUCUGUUGAGGACAGUUUGAAGGAAACCACCGCUAAUGGGAAACACCGCUCAAGCAGCUGGAGUCACACACAAAGCGUUCGUCAACAAAGGACUUGCAAUUGUCAGACAAAACACAACAGGAAUUCUGCUAAUUUGGAUUUCACAUUCAAAGCUCAGAAGCAAAUAUCCAUUAUUAAUUUACAACCUGGAAAUGUUCUGGUAUUUUAAAGCGUAUCAAUAAACAGUCCUUUUAAAU